rnacentral:lncRNA from 1 species
ACAGUUAGUUAUCGUAGUGUAAUACACGCAGGUAAAGGAAACUUCAAGCUAGUCCGGGGUCAUGUCAGGUCACAGGCCGGACUCACCUGUUCAAGAUUGUGUAUUACAUGGUUAAUUGCUGCUAAAUAAAGUGUCUUUUAUUGAUCAUUCCGAUAACAAUCAAAUGAUUAAAGAAAUAGACAAAUAAAUGAAGAAAAAAGAAAAAGGAAAAAUGGAAAUACAAUCUUUCAAUUAAAC